ACCUAGUGGGGUCUGGGGGGGUAAGAUGUACGCAGUCCAUACUUCUACCUCUGAUGAAGUAGAAAGGUUGUUUCUGAUAGAACCCCGGCUCAAGGCACGAGAUACCACACAAACACAUAGUAAAGCACAGAAGCAGAUUACAUAACAUAAAUACGGCACCCAUAAGUAAUAUAAAACAUAGGAAAGCAGAGGAAAGCACACAGAUUCGUAAUAAAACAUGGAACACGGAACACGGAAUCAUAAUAGGAAUAAAACCCCCACCAAGUAAUUCCCUACAUUAGCGACCCAAACUGGCCCUAAUCUUCUGCCGUAAUUCGCGCCCUCCAGACCUUCCUAUCUAGGGUCAUGUCCUCGGUGAGCUGUAACUGUUCCAUGUCCCGCC
rnacentral:lncRNA from 1 species